CUGUAGAGCGUGUUUAAUUAUCUCCCCUCCAAUCACAUUCUCUGUGGAUACUGUUCUACAGCUUUUUACUUUUGAGGUUUGUUUUUUCUUUCCUUUCAUUUCACAUAAGCAGAAACGACAGGAGUGAACGCUCUCACACAAGGCAAGCCUUCCGUUUCGGACAGGUCUGCUGUUUGCCACCAUUUCCUACCUUUGCUUGUUCAUGUUUCUUGGCUCUUACCCAUUGGCUUCUGAAAGAUGAUGAUGGAGAUGUUCUGCACGAGCUCUACUUCUCAAGACCUCUAAGAAUUUCCCAUGGGAAUAGUACUGUUUCCCUAUUUGUUCCAGCAAAAACUGAGCAUAUUUCUCCCUCAGAAAAGAAAUGAAGGUGUUUAGAAGCUUUGUUACUCCCUGCGUGCUGCACCUCUUGCGGAUGUGGUUAAAUCGCCACCUUCCACCUGUCUUUAGGAAGUUCAGCUCUUUCCAAGACAAACCAGCAUACGGUUUCUGAUUCCGAAAGCACCUCCCAUGCUGGCAAUCUUGUUAAUAUAGGAGCUUUGGGGAAGCAAAGAAGCAAGUUGGUGGUAGAAAUGAGGACUGAGAUAACCUCCUCAUUACUCCAGGUUGUAUGAUUAAUCUCGAAGAGGACUGAUGAAUAGUAAACGGUACAUCUGGAUUGAAUGAGGCAAAUUUCAAGAAACCCACUUGACUCUGGUGUCAGAGACUGUAUGUACUUCUCCCUGGUAGGAGACCAGGAACUUGCAAAGCAGCCCCGUCCCCCUGGGGAGUCAUCUACUUUUCUUUUUCUUCCAGGUGAAUUAGCCUGUGGGUGCUAUGGGCAGUCAGAAGGAUGGGAGGGCUCAAGAGAAAAUCAAUGUGUAGGUCAGAGCAACACAACAAAAGAAAGGUCUCUGUCAUUGCAUCUCCAGCCCACAAUAUCACAUGCUGCAGACUGGCUUAGAUGAACCUUGCUCUCGCCUUUGGAAGAGAUAAGCAGGCUGGACAAGGAAAGUGAGACAAGAUGGGCUGAAAAAAAAUAAGAGGACAUAGAUAAGAUAAGCAACCAAGCACCUCAAACUGUGUUCCUUGUGCUGCCGGAACCACUUGGCUUCUGGAACAACUGGACUUGAGGGACAGGACGUGACAGGACCUUUAAUCUGCUGCUGCUUACCAACUCCUCAAUAGCUCAGUCCUCGUCCUUUGCCCUUUCCUCGUGCUUUACAAAUGUUUGAGUAAUUGUUGUGAGGCAGAAACUACUGUAGGAGAUAGAGAUGACAGUAGCUAGCAAGUCAAUUGAGGAUGAUGCCCCUCCUACAGUUCACAGGCUGGUGAGAGAAACCAGGCUGUAGGCAAAUGAAGAAAGGAUGAAGCAAGAGGGCCGAAAGAGCAGAGGUCUGUGGUCAGAUGUGGCAAAGUGCUAUUUGGAAACACACCACAGAGAACUUGCUGUGCCAGACUAAAGCCUCUCAGCUGCCAAUUAUUGUGAAACGAAGAGAGGAGAGUUCAGAGAGGUGGUAGAAGGGUCAAGGUUGUGAGAGACUGUGGUGCUGAUAAAGUGGUUAUUUACCAACCAGCAACCAAAGUUUACUAUCCUCACAACUAACACUGUUUUUGAAACAACCAUCUGAUAAUGAGCUCUGAGGUGUUAGAACCUGAUAGCAGGGAUAGAGGCAGAAGGCCCCUUUGUGGGUAGGGAAGUGAGAAAAGGACAUCAAGAAGAAGCAGCAUGCAAGCUAAUCCCCAAGUGGCAAGAAGGAAAUGCAAGGGAUGGUCAGCCAGGGGCCAACUGAGGACAAGGGGAGAGCACGCGAUUCAACACCCAGCAAAGUUCUGGAGACAAGCCUAUGAAGCAAGGGACUGACAACUCUGGAAGGAACCAUGUCUGAUUUUACCUCAGCUGAACUUGCUGAAGCUGCUGAAACCAUGUCUGCCAGUUCAACAGCAUCCAGCUUCAGUGUCGUGGUCUUAUCAUCAUGUUCCAGUAGGCAAUGAAGAACAAUGACAAUAGCCUUUAUCUUGUGGAGAUCUUUGAAAAGGUACUGGCCAACAAUUAUUUUUAGCUAUUAGGUUAAGCAUAACAUUCACACGCAUAAGUGCACAUUCACACGCGUGCACACUCAUGGAAAGAAAAUGGUAGAAUAAAUGUCUCUAGUUUUAUAUUCCCUCUUGAAUCCAUUGUAACAUGGCUUGGGUUCCUUUGUCUCAACUAUAGAGUUUGCUACCCACAGCAUCCACAGCAACCUUCUCUUUAAUCAUGCCCAGCUCACAAUCAUCUUGGACACAGAUCACUGCUUCCUUUAAAAUACUGUCCCCUCUGGAAGGUCAUGUCUUUCCUUAGGUAGAUUGUUCUGCUCCAAGUGUUAGCACCCACAGGACCUUAGCCUCAUGCAGCUGGUGGCUGGUCUGUCCUAGAAGGUCCAAAAGGCUUCAUUUGCAUCUUUGUUCCCAUGACAAGGCAAGCAGAUAUGGCAAGAAGGCAAACGAUUACUGCGCAUCUUCUCUAAGGUUGCUGCCUUUCUUGUGGCCCCUCCUGAAGGAUGGUGCAGCUUAUUACACAGAAGCUCACUUUAAGAGUCAGCAUUCCCAGGGAAACAGAAACACGGGGCAAUACUUAGGUUAUGAAGUCAAACGCUCUCCUGGAGAACUAAAACACAUUGGUAUCUGACGGAAAUAUUCUAGAAAGGAGAAAGGGGUGCAUGUUGCAGAGCAGAGAAAAUGUGAUUGGGACCAAAUGACUUGAGAGGAAAGGAGAUGCAGAGGAAAGGGGCAGGGAUGGGAGUUGAAUGAAACAACUCCCAAAUGGAGGCAGGAAGCGCACUGAAGCCCCUGAAUGCGCUCCUCCUUCCAUUGGGCCUCCCCUUACUACUCUUACCUUGCCCAAGAAUCACUCUCAUCUUUUCCUUCUUUAUUUUCCUCUGUGACCCAUGUCCAUAUCUUCAGUACAAAUAUCUAUUCACAGCAUUGUAAGUGCUACUUCUUAUCUUUCGGUCCAUCUCUUUAUCCUCUUUCUCUCUCUGUCUCUCUGUGUCCAUCUCU
rnacentral:sRNA from 1 species